UUUAUUUCACUAUAGUUAGCUAAAGUAUAUUAGCAUUUAUACAGCAUUGUAGCGAAGUAGGAAUAUGGUAGCUGCCUUUAUUAUUGCAGUUCUCAGGAAGAAGUUUGUUCUGAAAAGAACUCAAAACAUCAAGACAGACUUAAUACCAUAAUGGAUUUUCAGAAAUAGAAUAUAUUUUUGUGCUUGCAAAAAGCAAAAUUCUAGGUUACUGCUGAUGAAUAAAACCUGUUGUCCUAUUCCAUACCUUCUGUAACGUCAUCUUUUUAACUGAAUGAUAUCAUAUUUUACAGCUGCUUCUUGUUUUUCCUUUAAUUAGCACUCCUCCAUGGCAAAGUCAACUAUUGUUAACAUUUAAAGUAAAUCUCUGUGUUCAUGAUAAGCUUGAGCAAUGUAGUGUUCCUUAGGUCUUAAGACUUAAGAAAAAAGAAACAUCUGCUGCUAAAACAAUCCAAAUCAAUAGUCUGCACUAGCUACCACAUUUUACAAAAUAAUAAAAAUUUUUACAAUAAAGGAGGUCAGGACAAAACAUAAAGACAUUGCUGAAGGGCGUCUAGUCCUUGUUAACACAGGGAGAAGCUAAUCCCUGUUAAAAGGAAGAGGAGAGAGAUGUGGGUCAUCUGACUGAUGACUGUUAGUGGAGUAGUCCCUUUAUAUAUUCCCAACACAAAGGAUGGACAUGAAGUAGUCAUCUUCCAAGUUACUAGACCUAGAAUUACUUACAAGUCAUUCAUGUCACUAUGAGUUCCAGAUUGUCUUCUGGAAGCGUUUAACUCUCUCUGCUGUUUCUCUAUAGUAUCUAUAGUGCUGUGAAUACGUAAAUACAGAGAAAUACAGAGUAAUAUAGUGGGCCAUUGAAACAACAGUGUGAUUUCUGUGCUUUUUUUUUUCUUUUUUGCGUGCUUGCUCUUUGCUUGGGGUUUUUUUGGUUUUUUUUUUUUUUUUUUUUGGUUGGGUUUUGGUUUUUAUUUUUGUUUUUUUAAUGCAUAGGUUUAGUCCAAGGCUCUUCAGAGGUAAAGAUCAAAAAUUCUAAUCUUGCUUUGCUGUGAAAGUUUGUUUUCUUUGGCUGAAGCAGUAGGAUUGCUCAGCACUAUUAUCUUCCUGUUGUUUUCAUUAUGCUAACACACAGUGAUCCCAAAAAAGGAUCUGAGUUAUGGUAGGGUGUCCACUAAUGCUUAGCAAGGGAACUCCUGCCAAGUACUACCCACCUGAAAAAAGCUUACAGGAGAUGAAAAAGAAAACGGGCACAUAAACAAGUGAACACGGCAGAAAGGCUGUCCAGCAAGCCACUGACACACGUGCAGUGAAAGCCACCCUCUCCUAAGACUGCUUCAGUGACCUGUGGCAGUGUAGUAGUUAAGGCACACAUGUGGGGAACUGUACUAAAGGCAGGAAAUGUGUCUCCUGUGGAUGGGAAUGGUUUCAUCUGACUGGAUGUGGCAUUCUCCAUCAUAGUCUCCACUUCAAAUCCUUGGCGGGUUAUAUUCUGAAGGCUAUGUCUACAUUUGACCACAUGAAUUACACCUUCAAGUCUUUGAUUUUUUUUGAAUAGACAUGGUUCUUUAUAGGACAAUACCCUUUUCCUGACCCAGAGACGGGGCAACUGAGAGGCGUUUUAAAAACUUUUAUUCCAUUUUCAGUCUCAUGAGAAGGGUGACACAAUGCAGAUGUUUGUAAUUCACACCAUCACAAUCAGAAGCCAGCUAUUUCCUAAUGAAAAUAUACUAUAAGUGUUUCUUGGCCUAGCUUUUUGCCAUGCCAUGUUGUAGAUGCCUUAAAGUGGGUCCCACUACAAUACAUCUUUCAUAGUUCUGUUUGUCCAAAGUAUCUAGUCUUAUUUGCAAGGCCAUCCUUUGAAACUUGUUUCUAGCUCCAUUUCUCUCUCAACAAUAUCUGUCCUAUUCCAUGGCAUUUCUAAAUGAGUAUGUCUUGUCUCAAAGUUUGCAUAUGGAUGCAUGCCGCGUGGACCUUCUGUCAGGCCCUGAGAACUUUCUACAAAUCCAUUUUCCACUCUUCUUGAUUAUGAAUGAACACUAGAACCACCAGCUGAGAUGUAGAGCUCUUGCAACACAUUAUUAGGGAUAAUAAGUUCUAUAAGCUACAGGCUGACUUCAUCAUGCCGCAUAACAGCUGAUAAUGGGCUAUUGACUGUCACUGCAUGACUGAUAACAGUUACAGCAUCCCAUUGUGAGAUGCUCCACCCAGAGGGAGAAGCCAAGCAUUCCUUACUGGAUAUAAUUUGGGGUUUUGGGACACCAAACUCAGGCUUUUCCACUGGGUUUCCAGGAGGACUGCAGCCAUUCCAACCCUGACCAAAAAGGGUAUCAGGUUAUAUUCUGACUCUGUCAGUGGUUUUUCUUUUGUAUUAUUGCAGGUAUUUUGUUUCCUUUUCUCACUUUUCCUAAUAAACUGUAUUUUUGAUUUGGAGUCUCUCAUUGGUUUUGUUUUCAAACCAGAACAAGACAGUAGUCAAUUCUAACCACCACUGCCUGCUUUCUGUCAACUGCCAAGACUUUCAGAUGCCUACGUAAUGCAUGUAUUGAAGGAAACCAGACACCCUCUAAUUCAUAACUGUAGCUCUGGUUUUUCACUGAAUUAGACUGUAAAUCUGAUGGUGCUGAAAUAAGAAGUUGCCUAGUUGUAUGGUCCUCACCAUUUCCAUCUGAGUCUAAUUCUGCACGCUAUCAGAGGUGCCAUCCUAGCCUCAUGUUUGUCAUAUGUUAUUUUGUGUAAUUUCCUUUUUAGUGGCAAUUGAAAUGAUGCAGUUUUUCAAAUCUUGAUUCUCUUUAAUUGAGAGCAUAUUAAUUUGUAUAGCUGUACUGAAAAAUAAGAAGUAACAGUAUAAAAAUGUUAAUGAUGUGAGAAAUUUCUUGGUCUAGUUCUAUGAGAAGUGUCUCUGCGUCAUAUAGAGUCAAUGUCCAGUCUUUCAGACAUUUUCUGUGGCCGUGUUUAUUGUGAGUGAUACUGUAUACCAUAUUUAGGAAAAAAUCCAAAAAGUUACUGAAUUCUAGCAAUUUCUUAUAUCAGUAAUUUUUUUCUCUAGUAAAUCAGUAAUAACUCCACUUAAAUUUUGCAAACUGAUAAAGUGGAAGGAUUAUUUCUGUAGUGAAUUCUCUGUUGCCAGACUAAAGGGUCAAACCAAUGGUCUGAUAUGUAUGUUGUGGCAGUGACUGAUGUUAGCUGUAAGGAAUGUGAUGCAGUGUAAAUUAUGGACAGCAAUUCACAAGAGACUUUCCCACGUCACAGUUGACUUGCACUUUGAAGAAAGUUUGGUUUUGACUAAUGAAACUGUGACUCUGGUGAUAAAUCUGAAGAUAAAUGCCUAUUCCUGUUUUAAAAUGCAACUACUCAGUUCUUUACACGAGUUGGGAACUGAAAAUUCCAGACUCUUGACAUUUCAUUUGGCAGAACAGACUAUGCCUAAUGCAAAUGAACAUCACAUUAGCUGUCUGCUGAGGACUACAGGCGUGCCUAAGCUCACCACCUCAUCUAUGCCGUGUGCUGGAAGGACUGUCAUUACCCCAGCAGAAAACAAGUUAACCUUACAGGAUUUACACUAAACAACAUUUACGUAGUGUGGCUAUCCAUUAAGCUAUGCUACAAUCAGCAGCGUGCAGGAGAUCUUGAAAGGUCUGCCAAGAAAAAAUCUCUGGCUGGGAUUGUACUCCAGAAGCCUGAGGGCAUGGAAUGGUGUUGAGGGAAAAUGCACUUGCAAAUAUUGAAAUAAAAAUGUGGUGCUCUUUAUCUGAAAA